rnacentral:rRNA from 1 species
UACGGAGGGUGCGAGCGUUGUCCGGAAUUAUUGGGCGUAAAGAGCUCGUAGGCGGUUUGUCGCGUCUGUCGUGAAAGCCCGGGGCUUAACCCCGGGUCUGCAUUCGAUACGGGCAGGCUAGAGUGUGGUAGGGGAGAUCGGAAUUCCUGGUGUAGCGGUGAAAUGCGCAGAUAUCAGGAGGAACACCGGUGGCGAAGGCGGAUCUCUGGGCCAUUACUGACGCUGAGGAGCGAAAGCGUGGGGAGCGAACAGG